UUAGAGGUAUUAGCCAAUUUGAGACAUAGGCAUAUGGUGAGUAUUCUAGGACACACUGUCAUUACUCAUCAGGACCCUCUCCAAAUCCAUAAGCACAGUACACAUAGUAUUUGAGUACAUCUCAAAUGUGUCAUUGAGGGAUCAACUUACAGAUAGGAAAAAAAAGGGAAAUUCUGAAAUGGCCACAAAGAAUGGCAAUCAGUAUAGGCAAUGCAAGAGGAGUCAAGUUUUUGCACACAGGAGUUGCUACAGGAAUAUUUGGUAAUAAUUACAAGAUUGAGAACAUUCUGUUGGAUGAUAUUCUCAAUGCAAAGGUUGUGGAUACAGCAUUCCCUUGCCAUCCAAGAACAUACUUCAUGAACAAAGUGCCACUAAUCAAAACGCCAGGGAAGUUAUGCGUAUGAAUCAAUGAGACCUGCAGUUCAGAUUACCAGCAUCUAUCUCUCGAAGGUUUCUAGUAAGCGCCUUCAAUAGAGGGUGUUCUUUGAGAUUUACAGUAAUCAAUGCAAGUUCAAGAGUCAUGGACCAGUAGUGGAAAUCUCAGCACAAAAUUAUAGAACUGCUGUCAACAAAAAUGAACAAAUGACCAUGCAAGUAUGUCAUUUCUUUUAUAUGGCCAAAAUGAAAUCUUGUGCUGCACUUUUUCAUAUCUGUUAUUGAUAUUGUUUUAAUUGAUGUUCCUAUCAGAUUGGUAUUUAGGUUCCUAUCAAUUCCCUAUUCCUUCGA